AAAUAAAUGGCACCCACCAAUUGUCUCUCUAAUCUCGAGAAAUCAACCAAAUGCGUCCCCAAAAAACGAUCCCAAAAUGUUGAUUUCUUCCAGAAAUUUGUAAGAAUCAAAGAGGAACUGUUGAAGAUGAUGAUGCCCCCAAGAACUAGGGCAUCAUAGAUUGGUGUCGAGGUGAUUACGCAGGGAAACGGGUCGGAUAUGGGAUAGAAUCGGGUCGUAAAUUGGGUUAACCUUAACCCCUGUUUCUGAGAAAUGGAGGAAACAGAAAUGGGGGGACGAUGAAG
rnacentral:misc_RNA from 1 species